GUCGCUGCUGGACGUGGCGCGCCGCUUCGCCGCCGCUCCGGACGACUGGGCGGUGGCGCCGCGGUUCAACCCGCGGGAGCGGUG
rnacentral:tRNA from 1 species